UCUCCGUAGGUGAACCUGCGGAGGGAUCAUUACUGAGUUUAUCUAACUCCCAAACCAUUGUGAACUUACCACUGUUGCCUCGGCGGCAGUCCUCUGUAACAGGAGGCGGCCGCCGGUGGACCACACCAAAACUCUUGUUGUUACAGUGUCAUUCUGAAUUUAAAAACUUAAUCAGUUAAAACUUUCAACAACGGAUCUCUUGGUUCUGGCAUCGAUGAAGAACGCAGC
rnacentral:misc_RNA from 1 species